UGAAGGCCAGGUCAUUUGUUGCAGCACUCCAUCACUCUCCUUCUUGGUCAAAUAGCUCCAAUGCAGGAGAGUGCCCUGUGUUCACUGAUGAAGUUUGCCUCCACGGAAGGGAAGUUCCCCCUCCAUGACUUGGACUGGAGUGAACACUACAGCUUCCCAAGGAAACUCAUCCAGCUAAACACGAAGACUGGAAAGCAGCCAAACUAAAAGAAGACACGCGUGCCUUUGAGCGGUCGUAGCUUGGGUUUCUGAAGUAUAAGUUACCCAACAGCAUGUACAAGAAGGUGCUGGUGAUCCUCUGUGACUCCAUCCUGCCCCACAUAGCAAUCCCACACUGAUGAUCAACUUCCUGGCUGCAGCCUAUGAUGUUGGCGAGUUGGGUUUCCAUCGUCUGUUUUCAUAGACUGUUCUAUAGAAGACAAUCUCAGUGGAUGCUAUGCUGUACUGAAAGAGAGUAGACCUCUCUUUCAUGCUUACUCCAUUAACUAUCGAUGACUAGCAUUUCAUCCUCACAUUUGCUGUAAAUUUGUUUACAGUCAACAACACCUUUUGUCCAUUGUGUCUCAUCUUUCUCUCAAAGUCACCUGCCAGUCUACUUGGUAGCAGCGUUUGCCAAGGGUCUGUCCCACCUGGCCCUCAAGGACCUGCCUGCUGCCUUGCUCAUGGUACUGCCCUUCAUCUACAACCUGAUCCGCCUCCAUCCUGCCUGCCGAGUCCUCAUUCACCGCCCCAGUGCAGCAGGUGAAGCCUGUGUUGACCCCUACCUGAUGGAGGAGGAGGACCCCACCCAGUGCCAUGCCCUGGAAAGCAGCCUGUGAACUACAGAUUCUUCAAAAGCAUUGCCAGCCUGAUGUGGCCAAGGCUGCCAUGGCGAUCAACAAGCCCCUGUCACAGCAGGAGGAUGACAUCAGCGAGGUCCUGGAGUUAUCAACCUAUGAGCAGAUGGAGCAGGACCUGAAGCAGAGCAAGACUGUGCCACUGGAGUUUGACCCUGCCAUCAAGCUACUGCAGGGCACUGGAGGAGUGGGGGUACUGGGCCUGCACUUCUCUCUAGAGUAGAGACAACCAGCACCAGGACAUUCAUACACCCAGCUCUUUGGACCUCCCUCCAAUAUAUCCCCUUUAUAUUUCAGCUUCACAUUUUUCUCUUGUUUUCUGUUUGGAAUUCAUUGUACUUCAAUCAUGUGUGUUUCCCGAGUGGCGCAGUGGUGGUCUAAGGCACUGCAUCUCAGUGCUCGAGGCAUCACUACAGACCCUGGUUUGAUCCCAGGCUGUAUCACAACCGGCCGUGAUCGGGA